UACCCCGUGGUGUAAUUGGCAACACAGCGGAUUUUGGUUCCGCCAUUCCUGGUUCAAGUCCAGGCGGGGUAG
rnacentral:tRNA from 1 species